UCCGGUGACCAUAGCGGCGGGGCCACACCCGUUCCCAUUCCGAACACGGCCGUUAAGCCCGUCCGCGCCGAUGAUACUGCAGACCAGCGGGAAAGUAGGUCGUCGCCGGGU
rnacentral:rRNA from 1 species